rnacentral:rRNA from 1 species
UACGUAGGGUGCGAGCGUUAAUCGGAAUUACUGGGCGUAAAGCGUGCGCAGGCGGUGAUGUAAGACAGGUGUGAAAUCCCCGGGCUUAACCUGGGAACUGCAUUUGUGACUGCAUCGCUGGAGUGCGGCAGAGGGGGAUGGAAUUCCGCGUGUAGCAGUGAAAUGCGUAGAUAUGCGGAGGAACACCGAUGGCGAAGGCAAUCCCCUGGGCCUGCACUGACGCUCAUGCACGAAAGCGUGGGAGCAAACAGG